rnacentral:rRNA from 1 species
CUCAUGGUUUCACGGUAUUGCAAUGAGAACAAUUUAAAACCCUUAGCGAGAAUCAAGUGGAGGACAAGUCUGGUGCCAGCACCCGCGGUAAUUCCAGCUCCACUAGCGUAUAUUAAAGUUGUUGCAGUUAAAAAGCUCGUAGUUGAACCUCUGUCUGGGGCUAGUUUUGGCUUUGGUCAGGCUAGUUCUAGGCAUCCGCCUACAAGACUUAGAGGGCAUUCAGUUGUUCACCAGGAGGAGUAGGCAUUUUACUUUGAAAAAAUUAGAGUGUUUAAGGCAGGCAAUCGCCCGCAUAUAUUAGCAUGGAAUAAUAGAAUAGGACACUUUUCCAUUUCGUUGGUUAUUGGAAUCGUGUAAUGAUUAAUAGGGACAGUUGUGGGCAUUUGUAUUUAAUUGUCAGAGGUGAAAUUCUUCAUUUAUUAAAGACAAGCUAACGCGAAAGCAUUUGCCAAGGAUGUUUUCAUUAAUCAAGUACGAAAGUUAGGGGAUCAAAGACGAUCAGAUACCGUCCUAGUCUUAACUAUAAACUAUUCCGACUCAAUGUUUGACUGGCUUAUAUAACCAGUUGAGCGUUGUAUGAGAAAUCAAAGUCUUUAGGUUCUGGGGGGAGUAUGGUUGCAAAGCUGAAACUUAAAGGAAUUGACGGAAGAGCACAACCAGGAGUGGAUUCUGCGGCUUAAUUUGACUCAACACGGGGAAACUUACCAGGUUAAAACAAUAGUGGGAUUGACAGUUUGAGAGCGCUUUCUUGAUUGGUUGGGUGGUGGUGCAUGGCCGUUCUUAGUUGGUGGAGUGAUUUGUCUGCUUAAUUGCGUUAACGAACGAGACCUUAACCUGCUUACUAGACUGGCGAUCAUCAAUCGUUAGCUCUUCUUAGAGGGACUUUGGUUGUUUUAACUCCAAGGAAGUUUGAGGCAAUAACAGGUCUGUGAUGCCCUUAGAUAUCCUGGGCCGCACGCGUCAUACAAUGACUAGUUCAGAAAGUUUUCUCCUGACCCGAAAGGGGAUGGGUAAUCUUGAUAAUACUAGUCGUGUUAGGGAUCGAUCUUUGCAAUUAUAGAUCUUGAACGAGGAAUUCCUAGUAAGUGCGGUUCAUCAGACCGUACUGAUUACGUCCCUGCUCUUUGUACACACCGCCCGUCGCUUCUACCGAGUGGGUGGUCCGGUGAGA